CACACGACUCUCGGCAACGGAUAUCUCGGCUCUCGCAUCGAUGAAGAACGUAGCAAAAUGCGAUACCUGGUGUGAAUUGCAGAAUCCCGCGAACCAUCGAGUUUUUGAACGCAAGUUGCGCCCGAGGCCUUCCGGCCGAGGGCACGUCUGCCUGGGCGUCACGC
rnacentral:rRNA from 2 species